AUUGAACGCUGGCGGCAGGCCUAACACAUGCAAGUCGAACGAGUGGCGGACGGGUGAGUAAUGUCUGGGAAACUGCCCGAUGGAGGGGGAUAACUACUGGAAACGGUAGCUAAUACCGCAUACCAUCGGAUGUGCCCAGAUGGGAUUAGCUGGUAGGUGGGGUAACGGCUCACCUAGGCGACGAUCCCUACCUGGUCUGAGAGGAUGACCAGCCACACGGGAACUGAGACACGGGCCAGACUCCUACGGAGGGAAGCAGUGGGGAAGAUGGGACAAUGGGCGCAAGCCUGAUGCAGCCAUGCGGCGUGUAUGAAGAAGGCCUUCGGGUUGUAAAGUACUUUCAGCGAGGAGGCGUUACUCGCAGAGGAAGCACCGGCUAACUCCGUGCCAGCAGCCGCGGUAAUUC
rnacentral:rRNA from 1 species